rnacentral:rRNA from 1 species
GUCUUUUUGAAUUUUAUAUAAAGUCUAACCUGCCCAUUGAAAAUUUUUAAAAGGCUGCGGUAUUUUGACCGUACAAAGGUAGCAUAGUCAUUAGUUUUUUAAUUGGAAACUUGUAUGAAUGGUUGAAUGAAAAAUUAACUUUUUUAUUUAAAAAAUUGAAUUUUACUUUUUUAUUAAAAGGUUAAAAUUUUUUUAAAAGACGAGAAGACCCUAUAGAGUUUAAUAAUUUAUAUUUUAUUUUUGGAAAAGAUUAAUUAUAAUUUUAUAAUGUAAAUUAUUUUAUUGGGGUGAUAAUAUAAUUUAUUUAACUUAUAUUUUUUAUUAACAUUAAUAUAUGAAUAAUUGAUCCAAUAUUAUUGAUUAAAAAAUUAAAUUACCUUAGGGAUAACAGCGUAAUUUUUCUUUAAGUUCAUAUUAAUAGAAAAUUUUGCGACCUCGAUGUUGGAUUAAGAUUUAAUUUUAGGUGCAGCAGUUUAAAAUUUAAGUCUGUUCGACUUUUAAAUUCUU